GGGGCGCAGCCACAACCGGCAGCACGGCACCGCUGUCCGCCAGGACAUCAGCUCAAGACUUCAAGCAUCAGCAUCUGCAGCAUUCCUGCUGUCCUCACCUGACUGCAGUGGAAAGGUGAUACCAGGUUUCUCUCAGGGAGCACUUCAUUCCAUGGCCUUCGCUUCUCCAAGCGGGUGCAGUGACACUGUUUCCUUUCUAUCUUAGCUGGUGGAGGUGCUUUUGUGCACAAAGGCCACAAGGUCACUCACUAGUUAUGCAACUGCUCCCUUUGCCCUUUUAAAAUAUAACUUGCCUUCUUAAAAUACAA